NNNNNNNNGGCCCUCCUGAAGCUGUGCGCUCAUCGAAGAGGACGACCUUCCCCAAAUAGAGGAGGCCUGGUCUUCGGUCAAGGGUAUAGGAGUAGCUGCCCUUCUCUGCUAGAACCUCCAAACAAGUGCUCAUGGCCCAGCCCUCAUUACAUCAAUCACAGCAAUACAUCUUCACACAGUGUACAAAUAU
rnacentral:snRNA from 1 species